CUGAAAUUUGCCAUCACAGAUUACAGUUCUUCUAUUCUGCUUGUUAUUUUUGCUGCGCAGAACAUAAAUUCUGCUCUCAUAAUUCUCAUUUUCUUUUAAAGCAAUCAGUUGUGUUUUGUGGUUCUAUCUUCUCAAAUCCCACAAGAUCUGUCACACUAAAUGUUGGAUGAUUUUUCUUUGUUUUGCAGUAUUUAUUCAUUAAUGUCUUAAUAUAUUAGAUCUGGUGGACAUAUUUCUUUCUCCUGUUAAUAUUUUCCUUGUUCAUUGAUCUACUUAUAUUCAAGGUCUUUGAAUUUUCUUCUUGAGACCCUUGGUAAUUCCAAUCUCUUCCCCCCUUAUUUUCUCUCUUGCUCACUUCCUUCUGACCGUAGUUUCCUUGAGAAUGGAAUUUCAAUGUUUUAGCUUCCUCUUCCACUUGACAAUUCACCAGCAUAGUUCUGUUUCCCAGAUGAUUUUGGAAGGUCAGAACUAAUCCCAGCUGGAUGCUGAGUAUUUUUUCUCAGGCUUAUUAUAGUGCUACAUAACUUCCAUAGACCAUGUUCUGUCUGUCUUAUCAUUUUUCCUUUGUUCCUCAGUUCUCUGGCCUGCCAUCAAAGUUCAGCAAUCUGCCAUGCUGAUGGUAGGGAGCUAAUUUUUAUAGUUUGGAUAUCCAACAUGCUGGAAGGAAGAUGGAGUGGGAUAUGGCAUUGAAAGUUCAGACAGGUUUUUAAGGUUCGUGAAACACUCUCUAAAACUGGUCUCAUAACAACCCAGUGAGGUCGAUAUUUUUCAUAGACACACACCAGUAUAAUUUCACUGGAUUAUAGCAUUUCCAGAUGUCGAUAAAACACUUAUAUGUGCUGAGAAGAAAGAACCAAGACAAAAUGGAGGAUGUAGCAUGGGAGGAGUCUUAGAAUGAGAGGCUUGCUGCUAUUUUAAAAUAAAUGUUUUGUUUUGAACAUGGGAUAGAAUAUGGGAAAAAUCAUUACAUAUGAAAUUAUGAAUCUAUUAUGUACAAAAUUUGAAAUGUUUAGUUAAUGGGGAUUCCAUAAUAUCCCCCUUUUUGUGGGGAGGAAGGAGAGUGGCAAUCUGGACAUGUAAUUUCAUUUUUGUGGGGUAUUCCAGAUAUGGAAAUAUCCUUUCCUCUAUUGAUUCAAUUAGACUUUUCUGUAAUUUAUAGUUUUAGAUAGUUAUGUAAGUCCCUAAGGGAUUAAGUAAUUUGCCACUGGUCACCCACUCAGAGCAUGUCGGAGGCAGGACUUGUAACUAGGAUUGCAUUGUUCUAAGGCCAAUCUUCUAUCCACCAUGCUAUCAACUAUAGGAAUAGCUAUAAAGACUAGUUCUAUGAUUUCAUAGGUUUAGGGAACCUUUUCUAUCCAUGUAGGUUUCUCCUUUCUCUGUUACUUAUGGUCUUAGAAAAAGACCGAGAACAAUAGGACCAAAUAGAAACUGGGGAUGACUAAAUCAUGUAGAAAGAGCCCUGCCUGCUACAUACUCUAUUCUAUUAUAUUUUUAUUAGUUUUAAAAUUUUUCCCAAUUAUAUUUAACAUGGUUCUGGUUGUUCUGGGGAGUACAACCCAAGGGAUUUGUGUUUGAUGCCUGUGGCCUAGGGCACUGAGAAUUUAAGUAACUUGCACAGUGACAUAUGACUUAUAUCAUACUAUUAAUAACAUGUUGCCUCCUCUCAAGGAGUAUAUUGUUCAAUAAAACUCACUAGUUAAACAUAAAUUAUUAUAAGCUUAUAGGAUUUUGUACAGAAGGAAACUAAGUUAUUGAGUAACAGUAUCAUAGAUUUAGAGCUGAAAGCGACCUCUGAGGCCAUCUAAUCUUACCUUCUCUUUUUUUUCCUAUUUCUUUUGCUCUUCUCCUCUUUUUCCUCCCUCUUCCUCUUCCUCCUCCCUUCC